AAAAGAGCUACUGCAAUCAUACCGGUCAGUGAGUAUUUAGGGACAAGGAGCUCCUUAGCUUAUUUUGUUCUGCAUGUAAACUAGGUUUGUAAGCCAAUAAGCAUUACAGAUUUUUCACUGUUUUUGACUAGUGUCUGAGGAAUCCAUUCUAUCACAAUCCUGUGAUAACUGCAUCAGAAUUAUUUGUAUGAAUUAUAUAUAACACAUAAUUUUCUUUUCUUUCUGGCAUUUAUGUCCAG
rnacentral:lncRNA from 1 species